CAGGAAGUAGUUUAAAUAGAAUGUCAGCUUUGGGUGCUGAUGGUAGGUGAGUAUGCCUUCUUCUUGA
rnacentral:tRNA from 1 species